GAGUUUGUCUUGGCUCAGAACGAACGCUGGCGGCAGGCUUAACACAUGCAAGUCGAGCGCCCCGCAAGGGGAGCGGCAGACGGGUGAGUAACGCGUGGGAAUCUACCCAAUACUACGGAAUAACUCCGGGAAACUGGAACUAAUACCGUAUGUGCCCUACGGGGGAAAGAUUUAUCGGUAUUGGAUGAGCCCGCGUUGGAUUAGCUAGUUGGUGGGGUAAUGGCCUACCAAGGCGACGAUCCAUAGCUGGUCUGAGAGGAUGAUCAGCCACACUGGGACUGAGACACGGCCCAGACUCCUACGGGAGGCAGCAGUGGGGAAUAUUGGACAAUGGGCGAAAGCCUGAUCCAGCCAUGCCGCGUGAGUGAUGAAGGCCUUAGGGUUGUAAAGCUCUUUUUAGUGGGGAAGAUAAUGACGGUACCACAGAAAAAGCCCCGGCUAACUUCGUGCCAGCAGCCGCCGCGGUAAU
rnacentral:rRNA from 1 species